rnacentral:lncRNA from 1 species
GUGAGGGGAGCUGGGGCUGGAGCAGGAACAGAGCGGGGGCGGCUCCAGGGCAGCUGGGGAGGCGAGUCGAGCGAGCGAGCGAGCGAGGUCCCAGGGUGCUGCUGCAGCGCUCAGCUCUCAUGUGUGGCCCCGCCUGGCUCUCGUGACCCCUGCUCCCGUCAGCUCUGCCCUCUCCAACUGGGAAGACCGGUGGCCAGCGAAGGGGAGACUGUUCCGCUCCAGUCCCAGCUGCACGUGGUGCCUCUGCCUCGGUCCCCGUCUCAGUCCCUCAGCGAAGUCUUUGCCCUGCUCAGGAGCCCGGCUUCUGCUGCCACUAGCGGGGCCUCGUGCUCCCAGUGGGGUGAGCAGGACAGCGGGCACCUGUGUCUGGCACUUGUUCUUGACCUCCGAGUCCUGGAGACCUGAAAGCCAGGAGGCCGCAUGGGACCUUUCCACCUGGGGUCCUGCAGAGGCGCCUGGGCCAAGGUGGCAGGCAGGACCCGGGUGAGGUUGGCGGCCAGGCCUCAGACUCCGUGUGUGGGACAUGUGCUGUCCGGGAGCCAGAAGCUGACCUUCCUGAAGGCUCCUGCUUAUCUGAUUUCAUCCCUGGAGCAGCCAUGUGACACAGCCGUGAUUUCCCUCUCGUCACUGAAGGAGCUGUAGUUAUUAAGUGACCUAGCCAAGGUCAUGCGCAGGAGAGGACAGAACCUCAGAAGGUCCGGAUUCUCUGCUUCUGGGCUGAGGCGCUGCCAGCCGCCGACCUUUGCGUGUGCAGAGGUGCGCUGCGGCCUUGGGUGGGAUCUCAGGCUUCCCCAGCAGAUCUGUGCGGAUGCUGGGGCCUCGCCCAACACGGGAUGCGUCACCUGUGGCUGGCUGAUGGACAGCACCUGCGGGCUAGGGGGAAACAUGGAGACCCUGGAAAGCUGGCUUCAGCUCUGUCCUUGGUCCCCCAGGCGACUUGUGGAGGGAAGCCUUGCCGUGCAGUGGGAUCUAGGUGAGAGGACUCAGGGCCUCUGGGUUUCCUGGGACCCUGAGUGCAACCCCCUCUUUUAAGGGGUGCGGAGGCAGAGCACUGAACUCCAUUUGGCCUGCUCAGUGACCUUCCUUUGAAUAAACCCAGAAUCCGUAUACAGGGAUGAAGGGAUGCUUGCUUUUUUUUUUUUUUUCUUUCUUUCUUUUUUUUUGGUACCGGGGACCGAACCUGGGUCCUCAGCUUGUGAGGCAGGUGUUGGAACCACUGAGCUAAAUCCCCGGCCCCAGGGGAUGCUUGCUUUGAUGCUGGCAAGUUUGGUUACGAGGCUUCUUCCGCAGGACUCCCUGAGGCAUGGCCGAGGGCGGGUGGGUAGCGUGUCCGUGUGUCUGGCUCCAUGCGUGCAGCCCUGCACGUGUGGGGGACCGGGGCGCCAUUGGUGGAGGCUUCGCAGCCUCGGGGUCGGGAUGCGUCCGGCCAGACCUGGCACUCUGCUCGCCUGAGACUGGAAGAGGACGGAGGGUGGUGUAGUGGGAUGCAGAGCCCCGUGCACCAGCUCUGCUCAGGGUUCCCCAGGAGAGACGAGGCCUUGGCUGACUCUGGGAGACCGGGCGUUCUCGACAGGGUGUGCCUGGUCCGAGGUCGGGGACUCCCGUGACCCUCCCUGGGGGAGCAUGAGGUUGGGGGCCAGGAUCUGGAGCGGCUCUUUCAUUCCACCCCCGUCUUCCCUGUGUUUAGAGGAAGUCCUAAACUGGGGAGAGCCUGGAGCCUGGAACAGGAACCGCUUUCCCCUGCAGGGAGGACUUCUGCCCUGACCAGAGUCCAGGCCCUGAUGUUCUUUGCAUAUGAAAGGUGAAUGUGGCCCCCCACUCUCCAGGACAGAGCCCCUGCUGCUCUGACGCUGUAUUUCUCGGUCACCACUGCUCACCCCCGCCGAGUCUGCUCAGUCCUUGGACCUUCGAUGGGCGCUGUGGGUGUGUGUGGGUGAGGGUGGAGUGGUGUCCUGGGGAAGAGGCAGGACCACGCGUGGCUUGCAGGCAGAAGGCAGGAGGUGCAGAGGAGUCUCGGGCAGGCCCAGCUGUGGGAGGCACAGGCUGCCUGGGGUUGGGUGCAGAUGGGCUUUCCGUGAAGUCUCAGGUAAGUCAGUGGCUCAGUGAGAGUUGUAUUCAGCACAGAAAACCCCGCGUGCUUUCGUCUUACCCCCAGGUGCAGGUUUACGUCCUAGGGCCUUAUGGGCCAGCGGCGUUGGCUAAGUCCGCAGGACCACGCUUGUUUCUUACAGGCUUUUCUCUGUUCUUUCCCACUCCUCACUCCCUCAUUCCUUGGGCGCCUGUAUGGAGCGCAGUUGUGCCUCAGUGUCUGGCGGGUCGGGUCCCACAGCCACAGUGCUGAGUCCCUGCCGUGGAAUGGCAGAGCAUUUACAUUUAACCUACACAUGUCCUCCCGUGUGCUUUGCAUCAUCUCCAGAUGAUUUACAGCAUCGACUACAGUGGAAAUGCUGUGCGAAUAGCUGUCACAUGGUUAGGAAUAAUGAAUGGCAUGAAUAAAAUCCUACACGCGUGGCGCAGGUGCAGCUUCUUUCAUCCAGGCACUUUCAGUCGAGGGUUGGACACGCUCUGUGCCGUGCAGUUCUGUUGUCUCGAGGCCUGGGUCUUGAGCGUGGCUGGCGAGAGUGAAAUGUGUGGGGAGCUGUGCAGGGCGCAGGGCACUGGCUCCGGCGCCUCCAGCGGCCUGGGGGACGGAGGGCUGAGGAACGUGAGCGAGUGCGGACCCUGCAUGCCUCUUACUGGAUGGGGCGCUCAGGCGCGAGCCGUUCUCCAGCCCUCCUGAGCUGUUGCCUCUUUGCAGCUGGGCCCUGCGUGGUGUCCCUGGAGGUCUGAGACCACGCGUCGCCCUGCCGGCUGGGACGAGAAGAGAGGCAGACACAGGGAGGAAGGGCCGCGGGCUGCUGCCUCUCCCCAUGCAGCCUCCAAAGAAUUUAAUCUGCUGGACAACAAACAAUACUGUUAUAAAACUCGGAAAACAGGAGGGUGAGGCCUCCAGACAAGGAGAAGGGCAUGCCGGGUAACGGCCCUAGGGAGCGCGCCAGGCCCG